AAAAAAAUUGAUAAUUAUUUAAUAAAAAAAAACUAAAAAUAUAUUGACACUUGUUUUGAAAAAUUUAAUAAUUUAUUACACAUCAUAUUUUAUAGCUGAAUUAAUUCAAAUAAUUGUGGACAAGAAUUAAAAUGUUCUUCAAAAAUAUACAAUUCAAACCGUUUUAUCAUUUGUUUUCAACUAAAAGAUCUAAAUUUCUUGACACUGAUUCAAAAACGAUACUUGUAUUUCGACGGUUCAAAUCAACAGCCAAAACUCUCGAUGAUCUUUUGGAUGAAAAGUUUGAAGAAUACAAAAGCAAAUGCAGUGAUGGACAAAUGUUUGAACCCACUGAUGAGAUUUUAAGUGAACUCCAUAGCGCCUAUUGUCGAUUGUCCAAGUUGUAUGAGUUUGAAAAUGAAGAGGAAUUCUUAAAAUUCCCAAAGUUUAAUUUCGUAAAUCCAGAAAUUGAUCCUAUUAUGAAAAAGAAAACUGGCAACGAGUGAUUCCUAUUCAGAAUGAGUUAUUAAUAAAAGUAUACAAAUAUAAAUAAGAAAUUUAACAAAAAUAUAUAAUACACUUGGGCGUGUACGUACUUUUUUAAAUCAA